rnacentral:rRNA from 1 species
UAGGGAAUCUUCCACAAUGGACGAAAGUCUGAUGGAGCAACGCCGCGUGAGUGAAGAAGGUUUUCGGAUCGUAAAGCUCUGUUGUUGGUGAAGAAGGAUAGAGGCAGUAACUGGUCUCUAUUUGACGGUAAUCAACCAGAAGGUCACGGCUAACUACGUGCCAG